UGGGGAAUAUUGGACAAUGGGCGCAAGCCUGAUCCAGCAAUGCCGCGUGUGUGAAGAAGGUCUUCGGAUCGUAAAGCACUUUCGGCGGGGACGAUGAUGACGGUAACCGCAGAAGAAGCCCCGGCUAACUUCGUGCCAGCAGCCGCGGUAAUACGAAGGGGGCUAGCGUUGCUCGGAAUUACUGGGCGUAAAGGGCGCGUAGGCGGCUUGGCCAGUCAGGCGUGAAAUUCCUGGGCUUAACCUGGGGACUGCGCUUGAUACUGCUAGGCUUGAGGCCGAGAGAGGGUGGUGGAAUUCCCAGUGUAGAGGUGAAAUUCGUAGAUAUUGGGAAGAACACCGGUGGCGAAGGCGACCACCUGGCUCGGUACUGACGCUGAGGCGCGACAGCGUGGGGAGCAA
rnacentral:rRNA from 1 species